UGGGGAAUAUUGCACAAUGGGCGCAAGCCUGAUGCAGCCAUGCCGCGUGUAUGAAGAAGGCCUUCGGGUUGUAAAGUACUUUCAGUCGGGAGGAAGGUGGUAAGGUUAAUAACCUUAUCAAUUGACGUUACCGACAGAGGAAGCACCGGCUAACUCCGUGCCAGCAGCCGCGGUAAUACGGAGGGUGCAAGCGUUAAGCGGAAUUACUGGGCGUAAAGCGCACGCAGGCGGUUGAUUGAGUCAGAUGUGAAAUCCCCGGGCUUAACCCGGGAAUUGCAUCUGAUACUGGUCAGCUAGAGUCUUGUAGAGGGGGGUAGAAUUCCAUGUGUAGCGGUGAAAUGCGUAGAGAUGUGGAGGAAUACCGGUGGCGAAGGCGGCCCCCUGGACAAAGACUGACGCUCAGGUGCGAAAGCGUGGGGAGCAAACAGG
rnacentral:rRNA from 1 species